rnacentral:rRNA from 1 species
UGGGGAAUUUUGCACAAUGGGGGAAACCCUGAUGCAGCGACGCCGCGUGAUUUAGAAGGCCUUCGGGUUGUAAAAAUCUUUUCUAUGGGAAGAAAAUGACAGUACCAUAGGAAUAAGGACCGGCUAAUUACGUGCCAGCAGCCGCGGUAAUACGUAAGGUCCGAGCGUUGUCCGGAAUCAUUGGGCGUAAAGGGUACGUAGGCGGGUAAGCAAGUUAGAAGUGAAAUCCUAUAGCUCAACUAUAGUAAGCUUUUAAAACUGCUCAUCUUGAGGUAUGGAAGGGAAAGUGGAAUUCCUAGUGUAGCGGUGAAAUGCGCAGAUAUUAGGAGGAAUACCGGUGGCGAGGGCGACUUUCUGGCCAUAACCUGACGCUGAGGUACGAAAGCGUGGGUAGCAAACAGG